GUGCUUGCUUCGGCAGCACAUAUACUAAAAUUGGAAUGCUACAGAGAUUAGCAUGGUCCCUGAUAUUUACAAAAAAUUAUGUUGUACACCUUAAA
rnacentral:snRNA from 1 species